rnacentral:misc_RNA from 1 species
AAGUCGUAACAAGGUUUCCGUAGGUGAACCUGCGGAAGGAUCAUUAUCGUGGGGAUUCGUCCCUAUCGAGAUAGCACCCUUUGUCCAUGAGUACCCUCUGUUUCCUCGGCGGGCUUGCCCGCCAACGGGGACACCACAAACCCUUUGUAAUAGCAGUAACUUCUGAUAACAAAACAAAUAUUAAAA